rnacentral:rRNA from 1 species
CACCUACGGGAGGCAGCAGUUGGGAAUCUUGCACAAUGGGGGAAACCCUGAUGCAGCGACGCCGCGUGGAGGAUGACGGAUCUAGGUCUGUAAACUCCUUUUUCAUGGAAAGACUUAGGACGGUACCAUGAGAAUAAGGACCGGCUAACUACGUGCCAGCAGCCGCGGUAAGACGUAGGGUCCAAGCGUUGUCCGGAUUUACUGGGCGUAAAGAGCGCGUAGGCGGUCUGUUAAGUGUGAAGUGAAAUCUCCAGGGCUCAACCCGGAAACUGCUUCGCAUACUGGCAGACUUGAGGAAUGCAGAGGUUUGUGGAAUUCCUGGUGUAACGGUGAAAUGUGUUGAUAUCAGGAGGAACACCCAUGGCGAAGGCAGCAAACUGGGCAUUAUCUGACGCUGAGGCGCGAAAGCGUGGGUAGCAAACAGGAUUAGAUACCCUGGUAGUCCACGCCCUAAACGAUGGAUACUAGGCGUAAGAGGUAUCGACCCCUCUUGUGCCGCAGCUAACGCAUUAA